rnacentral:rRNA from 1 species
UACGGAGGGGGCUAGCGUUGUUCGGAAUCACUGGGCGUAAAGCGCACGUAGGCGGACUCUUAAGUCGGUGGUGAAAUCCUGGAGCUCAACUCCAGAACUGCCUUCGAUACUGAGAGUCUCGAGUCCGGGAGAGGUGAGUGGAACUGCGAGUGUAGAGGUGAAAUUCGUAGAUAUUCGCAAGAACACCAGUGGCGAAGGCGGCUCACUGGCCCGGUACUGACGCUGAGGUGCGAAAGCGUGGGGAGCAAACGGGG